AACUGGACCGGGCUGGUAGGGUCAUUGCAGGAAAGGAAAAGGUGCUUAACUGCAUUUUUUCUUACACAUGUGUUUUUCUUUUUUUGAAAAAUUUGCUUUGGUAGGCCUUCUAUAUGGGGCCUGCCAGAGAUUAAACUCAACCAAAUUUUAUUUAAUGUCAACCGAUUAUUUAAUAGUCAAAACUUUCAACAACGGAUCUCUUGGUUCUCGCAUCGAUGAAGAACGCAGCGAAAUGCGAUAAGUAAUAUGAAUUGCAGAUAUUCGUGAAUCAUCGAAUCUUUGAACGCACAUUGCGCCCUUUGGUAUUCCAAAGGGCAUGCCUGUUUGAGCGUCAUUUCUCCCUCAAACCCUCGGGUUUGGUGUUGAGCGAUACGCUGGGUUUGCUUGAAAGAAAGGCGGAGUAUAAACUAAUGGAUAGGUUUUUUCCACUCAUUGGUACAAACUCCAAAACUUCUUCCAAAUUCGACCUCAAAUCAGGUAGGACUACCCGCUGAACUUAAGCAUAUCAAUAAGCGGAGGAA
rnacentral:rRNA from 1 species